ACACCACCCAGUGGUGCUUUCCGAAAAUGACAUGGAUAAAUGUGCCGGGCCUUGGCUCGCGAGCCCUUUUAGGUAGUCGAAAGGCGUCGAAAGGUCUACUAGAAUUGUGGCUCACCAGGGACUCGUUUACGUUUU
ensembl:ncRNA E02H4.9 ncRNA